UCGGAAGGUGUUGGAAUUCUUAUUGGUUUAAGUCUAUGGUCAUCUCUAAAUCUUGACUACCGUUUAGAUAAUUUCAUCGUUUGCAAACAAAAACACGUGGGUUAGAAGAUGGACAUUGUGGAAAUAAUUAGAAUACAAAAGGAGAUAGAAUUUUACCGUAGUGUGAUCCCGAUCACCGGAAUCGCCACACGCCACCAUACGCAUGUCCUUGAUUUAUUACGCGUCGCUGCCUGAGCGCUGUUGCUGAAACACUGCCACUGGACCAUUGUCGGCCACCGCACACUGCUCUGAACCAUCGCAAAUCGACU
rnacentral:lncRNA from 1 species